GAUGAACGCUGGCGGCGUGCUUAACACAUGCAAGUCGAACGAAGCAGUUUAUCACGAUCCCUUCGGGGUGACGAUUUACUGACUGAGUGGCGGACGGGUGAGUAACGCGUGGGUAACCUGCCUUGUACAGGGGGACAACAGUUGGAAACGACUGCUAAUACCGCAUAAGCGCACNNUGUUGCAUGACACAGUGUGAAAAGAUUUAUCGGUACAAGAUGGACCCGCGUCUGAUUAGCUAGUUGGUGAGGUAACGGCCCACCAAGGCGACGAUCAGUAGCCGACCUGAGAGGGUGACCGGCCACAUUGGGACUGAGACACGGCCCAAACUCCUACGGGAGGCAGCAGUGGGGAAUAUUGCACAAUGGGCGAAAGCCUGAUGCAGCGACGCCGCGUGAGCGAAGAAGUAUUUCGGUAUGUAAAGCUUAUCAGCAGGGAAGAUAAUGACGU
rnacentral:rRNA from 1 species